UGCAUUGAUUCUGCCAGUUUCGUAUUGAUAGCUUAGCCCCACUGUAUUUAAAACUCUUUUUUAGGAAUUCUCUUUUAGGCUUAGGAAGAGCCAAAUCUGUAUGACUAUUUCUAAGAUCAUAAUUUGUUUGCAUAUGAUUGCGUCUUAUCAAGGAUUCUUUCAACGUAGGUCCCACGCAAUCCUUCAAGACUUUAAACAUUAAUAUUGCUUUGGUUGUACGUCGUCUUGUCUCUAAAUUGUCCCAAGCAAGAGAUUGAAGAACAUCAGCAGAUCUAAUCUCAUAACUUGCACCGACAAUGAUUCGGGCUGCGCGAUUUUGAAAUUUUUGGAGUUUAUUUUUCAAAUUUUGAUCACAGACGCCCCAAAUGGGAGAACAAUAAUCAAA